rnacentral:rRNA from 1 species
CCUACGGGCGGCAGCAGUGGGGAAUAUUGGGCAAUGGGCGCAAGCCUGAACCAGCAACGCCGCGUGAAGGAAGAAGGCUUUCGGGUUGUAAACUUCUUUUCUGAGGGACGAAGAACGUGACGGUACCUCAGGAAUAAGCCACGGCUAACUACGUGCCAGCAGUCGCGGUAAUCCGUCGGAGGCAAGCGUUAUCCGGAUUCAUUGGGUGUAAAGGGCGUGUAGGCGGGAAAGCAAGUCAGAUGUGAAAACUCAGGGCUCAACCCUGAGCUUGCAUUUGAAACUGGUUUUCUUGAGUGCUGGAGGGGCAAUCGGAAUGCCGGGUGUUGCGGUGAAAUGCGUAGAAAUACGGAGGAACCCCAGUGGCGAAGGCGGAUUGCUGGACAGUAACUGACGCUGAGGCGCGAAAGCGUGGGGAGCAAACAGGAUUAGAUACCCGAGUAGUC